GCCCCGUUAGCUCAGUCGUAGAGCAUGAGGCUCUUAAUCUCAGGGUCGUGGGUUCAAACCCCACAUUGGGUG